AUUGAACGCUGGCGGCAUGCCUUACACAUGCAAGUCGAACGGUAACGGGCCUUCGGGUGCCGACGAGUGGCGAACGGGUGAGUAAUACAUCGGAACGUGCCCGAUCGUGGGGGAUAACGAGGCGAAAGCUUUGCUAAUACCGCAUACGAUCUACGGAUGAAAGCAGGGGACCGCAAGGCCUUGCGCGGACGGAGCGGCCGAUGGCAGAUUAGGUAGUUGGUGGGAUAAAAGCUUACCAAGCCGACGAUCUGUAGCUGGUCUGAGAGGAUGAUCAGCCACACUGGGACUGAGACACGGCCCAGACUCCUACGGGAGGCAGCAGUGGGGAAUUUUGGACAAUGGGCGCAAGCCUGAUCCAGCAAUGCCGCGUGCAGGAUGAAGGCCUUCGGGUUGUAAACUGCUUUUGUACGGAACGAAAAGCCUUCUUUUAAUACAGGAGGGUCAUGACGGUACCGUAAGAAUAAGCACCGGCUAACUACGUG
rnacentral:rRNA from 1 species